rnacentral:tRNA from 4 species
GGGGGAUUAGCUCAGUUGGUUAGAGCGCUUGCUUGACAUGCAAGAGGUCGGCGGUUCGAAUCCGCCAUCUCCCACCA